UACGUAGGUGGCAAGCGUUACUCGGAAUCACUAGGCGUAAAGCGCGGGUAGGCGGUUGGGUAAGUCUCUUGUGAAAGCUCCCGGCUUAACUGGGAGAGGUCAAAGGAAACUACCUGGCUAGAGUGCGGUAGAGGAAGCUGGAAUUCCUGGUGUAGCGGUGAAAUGCGUAGAUAUCGGGAGGAACACCUGUGGCGAAAGCGGCUCACUGGACCACAACUGACGCUGAGGCGCGAAAGCUAGGGGAGCAAACAGG
rnacentral:rRNA from 1 species